UACGUAGGGGGCAAGCGUUGUCCGGAUUUAUUGGGCGUAAAGAGCGUGUAGGCGGCCAAGCAGGUCAGCUGUGAAAACUCGAGGCUCAACCUCGAGACGUCGGUUGAAACCGCUUGGCUAGAGUCCGGAAGAGGAGAGUGGAAUUCCCGGUGUAGCGGUGAAAUGCGCAGAUAUCGGGAAGAACACCUAUGGCGAAGGCAGCUCUCUGGGACGGUACUGACGCUGAGACGCGAAAGCGUGGGGAGCGAACAGG
rnacentral:rRNA from 1 species